GAUGAACGCUGGCGGCGUGCCUAAUACAUGCAAGUAGAACGCUGAAGGAGGAGCUUGCUCUUUCCGGAUGAGUUGCGAACGGGUGAGUAACGCGUAGGUAACCUGCCUGGUAGCGGGGGAUAACUAUUGGAAACGAUAGCUAAUACCGCAUAACAGUAGAUAUUGCAUGAUAUUUGCUUGAAAGGGGCAAUUGCUCCACUACCAGAUGGACCUGCGUUGUAUUAGCUAGUUGGUGAGGUAACGGCUCACCAAGGCGACGAUACAUAGCCGACCUGAGAGGGUGAUCGGCCUCACUGGGACUGAGACACGGCCCAGACUCCUACGGGAGGCAGCAGUAGGGAAUCUUCGGCGAUGGACGGAAGUCUGACCGAGCAACGCCGCGUGAGUGAAGAAGGUUUUCGGAUCGUAAAGCUCUGUUGUAAGAGAAGAACGAGUGUGAGAGUGGAAAGUUCACACUGUGACGGUAUCUUACCAGAAAGGGACGGCUAACUACGUG
rnacentral:rRNA from 1 species